rnacentral:rRNA from 1 species
UACGUAGGGUGCAAGCGUUGUCCGGAAUUAUUGGGCGUAAAGAGCUCGUAGGCGGUUUGUUGCGUCGGCUGUGAAAUCCCGAGGCUCAACCUCGGGUCUGCAGUCGAUACGAGCAAACUAGAGUGUUGUAGGGGAGUCUGGAAUUCCUGGUGUAGCGGUGAAAUGCGCAGAUAUCAGGAGGAACACCGGUGGCGAAGGCGGGACUCUGGGCCGAUACUGACGCUGAGGAGCGAAAGCGUGGGGAGCGAACAGG